rnacentral:rRNA from 1 species
AUCAGCUUGUUGGUGGGGUAAUGGCCUACCAAGGCGACGACGGGUAGCCGGCCUGAGAGGGUGGACGGCCACACUGGGACUGAGACACGGCCCAGACUCCUACGGGAGGCAGCAGUGGGGAAUAUUGCACAAUGGGCGCAAGCCUGAUGCAGCGACGCCGCGUGAGGGAUGAAGGCCUUCGGGUUGUAAACCUCUUUCAGUAGGGAAGAAGCGAAAGUGACGGUACCUGCAGAAGAAGCGCCGGCUAACUACGUGCCAGCAGCCGCGGUAAUACGUAGGGCGCAAGCGUUAUCCGGAAUUAUUGGGCGUAAAGAGCUCGUAGGCGGUUUGUCGCGUCUGCCGUGAAAGUCCGGGGCUUAACUCCGGAUCUGCGGUGGGUACGGGCAGACUUGAGUGAUGUAGGGGAGACUGGAAUUCCUGGUGUAGCGGUGAAAUGCGCAGAUAUCAGGAGGAACACCGAUGGCGAAGGCAGGUCUCUGGGCAUUAACUGACGCUGAGGAGCGAAAGCAUGGGGAGCGAACAGGAUUAGAUACCCUGGUAGUCCAUGCCGUAAACGUUGGGCACUAGGUGUGGGGGACAUUCCACGUUUUCCGCGCCGUAGCUAACGCAUUAAGUGCCCCGCCUGGGGAGUACGGCCGCAAGGCUAAAACUCAAAGGAAUUGACGGGGGCCCGCACAAGCGGCGGAGCAUGCGGAUUAAUUCGAUGCAACGCGAAGAACCUUACCAAGGCUUGACAUGAACCGGAACGGCGCAGAGAUGUGUCGGCCACUUGUGGCCGGUUUACAGGUGGUGCAUGGUUGUCGUCAGCUCGUGUCGUGAGAUGUUGGGUUAAGUCCCGCAACGAGCGCAACCCUCGUUCCAUGUUGCCAGCGGGUUAUGCCGGGGACUCAUGGGAGACUGCCGGGGUCAACUCGGAGGAAGGUGGGGAGGACGUCAAAUCAUCAUGCCCCUUAUGUCUUGGGCUUCACGCAUGCUACAAUGGCCGGUACAAAGGGUUGCGAUGCUGUGAGGUGGAGCUAAUCCCAAAAAGCCGGUCUCAGUUCGGAUUGAGGUCUGCAACUCGACCUCAUGAAGUCGGAGUCGCUAGUAAUCGCAGAUCAGCAACGCUGCGGUGAAUACGUUCCCGGGCCUUGUACACACCGCCCGU